rnacentral:rRNA from 1 species
GACAGAGGAGCCAAGCGUUGUCCGGAUUGACUGGGCGUAAAGCGCACGCAGGCGGCCGUGCACGUGGGGUGUGAAAGCGCUCGGCUUAACUGAGCGAUGCCACCUCAUACGGCAGGGCUCGAGCCCGUGAGAGGUCCACGGAAUUGCUGGUGUAGCGGUGAAAUGCGUAGAGAUCAGCAGGAAUACCCGUGGCGAAGGCGGCCCCCUGGGCCGUACCUGACGCUGAGGCGCGAAGGCUGAGGGAGCGAACGGG